UCCUGCCCGUUGACAGCUGGAAUAGGCUUCAGCACUCCCCUGACCCUCGUGAGGAUAAGACGGGUUGCGGAAGUGCUGGAACCUACUUUAUCAGUUUAUUUAUUCAUUUUUACUGUUGUGGCGCAGAGUAGACGGAAGAAAGACAACCUAGUACUCUCAGAAAUGCUAAAUAAGGUUUCAUCAAAAGUAGUUUUUUGUGGAUGAUGAACAAACAUUCAGCCCCUUCUCCAUUCUGUUUGACGGCACACGGAGGAGUUGUUUCAUCUGCCAAGUCUCAGUCCAGAGCAAAAACUGCCUCACGUCCGCACAGUGAAAAUGUUUCCAUGUGGGAAACAAGAUGAGUCACGAGCACAAGACCGAGGGGGACGUGGGAGACUCGGAGAAGAGAAAAGGAUGGAGAAGGCGAGGGGGAAAGUGCUAUGAGGGUCCGAUAGGAGCCAAAGAAAAGUGGUGGCUGCUGGGUGGGAAUUUCAAGCAUGGGCCUUUUAAUGCAUCCUGUUAGCAUAGAUAGGCCCACCCAUAUUUGAAACAAUGGAUUAGGACCCUCCACUCCCCACCGAAAAAAAAAAAACAACUUUCCAGUGGCCACUACCCUGUCACUUUUACUAGACCCCAAUUCUUGCAUUUUGCCAAACACAAGACAGGGCAAAUCAGUUUUUUAGUCUUAACACCGCGAGCCUGCUGGCACUUGAGAUCCUGCGAGAGAGAAUUUAACAGCCUGCUGCUGCUCAACGUGAAAGUGAUUUGCAGCACUCUCCACGUUUAUGGCUCUUGUUGGAAAGACGCAACGCCAGCAGUGUUAGUCAUCGUCAGGACGGCUGCACGU